rnacentral:antisense_RNA from 1 species
UCGGGCAUCGGCCUUGCGCUCGCGAAUGCCGUUGCCCACCGCGUGCAGCAGGUGGGUCUUGCCCAGGCCGGUACCACCGUA